GUUAACGAACGACCUUCUGGAACGAAUUGUGUUUGUUAACCGAGGGACCACUGUAUCUGAGAAAGUGAUGAGAAGUGGCAUAAUAAAAGACCUCAACCAGAAAUUUUUUUUACAAAACAUUUGUAACGUAGGAAAGUUAUACAAUAUUACGCAGAGGGAAUUGAGCUACCGGAAAUAUGUGAGUUAAGAAACGAGCUAUAUCUCUUUAAUAUGUCACAAUAUAUGAGAUGAAUAGGGGGUUAACUGAGGGUAACUGGUAGUAAAAUUCACAAAGCAAAAACAUUGUCAGUGUUAUUUAACACAGUGUAGCAAAGAAUUUUGCCAGAGGAAGUGUGCUCGUUUAAAAGAAUGUAAUGAAUCUGUUAAAAACGGAGCAGUUUCGAUCUGCAAAGGGCAGAUAAUCAGAGCAAACAGCAGGAGUUGUAAUAGGCCAUACUCCAGUAAUAGCUGUGUCAGUCAUUAUGAAGACCUCAGAGAGAACACGCACAACAAUCAUAGCACUUCAUGGAGAAGGCCUGAGCAAUGGUGCGAUUGCUAGGCGGCUUGGUGUUUCCAAGCACGCCAUAGCCUUAUGGAUAAAGCGCCACGAUAAUACAGGACAGAUCCUGCACCAGCUUGGAGCCGGGCGGCAUCGCUGCACAACCCCUGCACAGGAGAGAGCAAUAGCAGCUACCAUCCAAAACAGACCAUUUACCACUGCCCCCCAGCAUCCAACAAGAACUUGGAUUGGCUUGCACACCACAGGCAAUCAGAAACAGACACCACAGCAUUGACCGCCAUGCCCAUAUACCCACAAAGAAGCCACACCUGACUGAGGAAGACAUGGAAAGGCGCCUGGAGUACAGAACGCGUUAGAACAGGAGUUCCCAACCGGGGGGAAUUCCCCCUGGGGGAAAUUUGGAUAUUCCAGGGGGGAAUAAAGAGAUGAGUCCAAAAUGUCCAAAGUAGCCUUUUUGAUGGGUUGUUGGUUAGAGAAAAUAUAUAUUUUAUGGCUAAAUGCUCUUUGGCUUUUAAUUUAUCCUUUUUCAGAGCAAGGUCAGAAUUUUGGUCUUCAAAUAACUAUCAUGCUACUGGUUUCCAAAUUUGAGACUGUCCUUGCCCUGGACGUGUACAAGCGGUUCCUGGUAAAGGAAGCCGCCACUCUCGUGUCUCGGGCAGGGACCGUCCUUGUUCUGGACGCGUAUGGACCUAGUAUGGGUUGGUCGGGACCAUAGGGAGCUGUCGCUCUCAUUUCAGGACUCAGCAGUGACCGACCAGUGGCUGGCCUGACAUGAAUGGGGGAGGCUGUUGGGUGUUACUGGGCUAGUACCGCAGGAACCAGAUUUUACCAACUAUUUGUCAGUGGGCACCAGCGAUAGAAUUUCAAUGCUCGUGACUGUGUUGCAGACAUUAAGAAAAAAGAAGAUUAUUGUGUUCUUCAAUUCCUGCCAUUCUGUCAAAUUUCACCAUGGUGUUUUGUCUCAUUUCAGUCUACCUGUUCUCUACUGUAUGGUAAGUUAAUUACAUCAGAAUCAGCAAAUUAAUAUUUGAGAAGUACAGUAUUUUUUUAUGAAACUGAAUACUGGUAUCCCUCGUUUAACAAUGAGGUUGUUUUCCUGAAAAACCUAACUUUAAGCAAAAUUAUUGUUAAACAAGGGAUAACAGCAAAGCAUGGAGAGUGAAUAACAGGCUCAAACGAUAGGGUGGUAAACACUGAGUACAGUACAAAGUACAGUGAUAUCCCCAUUAGCCGGAACAAUUGGUGCAAAGGACUUC